GGCUGAUUGUUCUGACUCAUACAAGCCCCUAUGAAAGAGUUGACCACAAGGGGGCACACUCUGAACAAUUAUUUACAUUUGCAGUUUGUUGAAGAUUAAAUAAACCACAGUGAGCAUCAGAUGUCUGGUUUUAAUACAAAGUUUUAUGAUGAACUAUUUUAUGAUAUUACCAUCUUGUCAUUUAUCAAAGAAGAGCUACAAAACCUGAAAUUUGUUCAUUUUUCGACAGAAAAAUUCUGCAGUGUAGCUCUUCUAGUGGGCUUUCCCACUGGAUGUUUAGUCCAACACAGAGCAGUUUGCAUGAAAAGUUGGUAAUGUGACCGUCGUAAUGUGGACUGGGAAGUGCACUGCGGUACCGAACCCGAGACUACCUGUAGAAGGUGGUCCGAGUUCAGUUACAAUGGAACUGUGAAUGUGAAUUGUCCCAUGAAUGUGAACGUAACUUGUAUCCGGGUCUGCACUUUUUCAGGAAGUAGAGUAACCUGUGCUGAAGGCCUGUUGUGGUGAUGACGUGUCAUGACAUGUUUUGGCCCAAAUCUGCAGAGACUUUGAAAAAGUGGAAGCUCCUCUGAAUAUUGUGGAGUUUCUUGAUUUUGCGUUAAUUUCUGUGAUCACAAAAAGAUGAAAUUCUGGACUGACACAUGGAAGAUAUGGAAUGAUAACAGAAGAAUGUGACUUUGGGUUGUACCGUGUAUUUUUUUCAUGUAGCUUUAUUAUUUAGUAUAAAUGAAGGCAAGUGUGUGUUCUGUUCUUCAUCUCUGCAGUCGUGUGUUCCCUGAUAGUCAAUGAUUGCUGGAGCUCUGGAAAUAGCAGGUGAGAUUGCAGGCCGGAGUCGCGUGGCUGUCCAAGGAACCAAAAUCAACCUCCUCUACUCCUGAGACCACAGUGUGACUGAGAGCCUAGACUACAUGGCUACUUGGAACAUGAACAUGCUGCAGACACAGGAUCUUAUGAAGUCAGCGCAGGCAGCCCUGGAAAAGAAGAGUCCGAAAGACGUGCCCUUCUCCAAGCUUUAAAGGAGAAGAUCCAGGGCUGUUGAAGCUGCGGUGGAACUGAGACAUCAUCAUCCACAUAUCUUCAGUUCUUCUUGCUAAGUCUGUUUCUUUUUAGUCUUUUUAUUUUUAGACUGGUCAAAAGACUGAUUAGUGGAAGUGAAAUGAUAGAUGAACUUUUAAUUACUUGCUUUAUUAUUUGCAGGUGCCUUGUACAGUAAGACAGGGUAACUAAUACUCAAAAGCUUGUUUUGUGUGUUAACAUGUACAGUAGAUGAACAUAUUUUUUCUGGUGCUGUGACUGCAGAAUGUAGUGCAGUUAACACAUUAAAUUUCCUUGGAUGCUCACUUUUAACUCGAGGAGGUCACAGUUUGCCCAGACAUCUUUUUUUAAAUCCGUCAAUCCGUCACCCACACGUCAUUCUGUGGGACGAAGAGGAGGAAGCUGGACAGAUAAAUUUAUUUAUUUAUUUAUCAUUGCUGUGUUUCCUCAAUCGAGUGCAGAAAGAAGAAAAACAACACAACUGAUUUAAAAUAUAGAAAACAAUCUAAUGUAAGGUUCUGAUCCGGUUUGCUUUCAGCAGGAAGGCUGUCCUCUUUCCUGUUGCUCUUUCUCUUCUAUUAGUCCAUUUGUCCAGUCUGAAUCGGUUUUGAUUCGUUUCGAGACGAUUCGGAGUCGAAUAAUUUUCUAGUGAGAGUCGCACACUUCCAAACGAACUAGACUGAGAUGAGUAUUUGAUUCUCACUAGAAAGUGAUUCGACUCUGAAUAAACUCGAAAUGAAUCAGUCAAACUGAUUCAGACUCUAUAAAAGGACUAUGAGAUGUGAUUAAGAUAUAUAUUCCAAUGUUUUGCUUUACAAUUCCAUUGUGUGUGUGUGUGUGCGUGUGUGUGUGUGUGUGUAUGUGUGUGCGUGCGCGCGCACGUGUGUUUUUCAGGAGAACGAGAAACUCGGACACAACAGUACAUCCUGACCAUUGGUACUGUGUACACAUCAACAUACACACACGUCUCCAUGCUGGACAUCUCAGGAGCUUUCACACAGUGCUAGGAAUAUCCCAGGACAGAGAAACGCACCUUCUAAGUGAGCGAGUUUAGCGUCAACCGGUGAAAUUUGCUGUAGCGUGAACACUUUGCCUCUAAAUGAUCUUUCGAGGCAGCUUCUUCAUCACUACCUGCUCCGUUUGACUCAAAAAUGUAACGACCGGUUUCAAAAAGUCACGAUGUCUUCAGUUCAUGAGAUUUUACUGUUGAAUUUAAACAGGAAAUGUGAAAUAUUUUUUCCCUUUGUUUCCUCUACUGUCUUUUUGCUGUGAUCUUGAACACAGUUGUAAUUUAAAAAAAAAUAAAAAUAAAAAAAUGAUAAUUCUAGUUCUCUCACUUUCCUUGUCCUAAUUGUCCUGUAUCUGUUAAAUCCGUUUCAUCUCUGUUCUUUCUGUCUGUAUGAACACUUGUAGAAAUGACUUGUAGUCCAUAUUUUUAAAUGAUUCGUGAUUUUGAAUUUAAAUAAAGAUAUUCUUUAA